rnacentral:misc_RNA from 1 species
CUUUCACCUAUCACACCGGAAAUCACAUGUACCUCGGUGAACAAAAUUCAAAAUGUUUUCAUCUCAAGGAUUUGAUCUUCACGGUAGUUCCGGAGUCGAACCAAUGACAAUGGGGUCCCCAACAAGUCCAACCUCUCCCCACCAGACACCAUUUUUACCCAGUUUUCUGAUGGGAGAAUCAAUUCACCACAGUCCAGGUCCCCAGCACUGGUCUGCAGCAAGCCCUCCUUCCUCUACACCAAGAGUCCCCUCAGUCACCUCUCCUACUGGACAUCACUCAGGAUCAAGGCCAAGGCCAGAGGUAUUGCGCCCAAAAGACAGAACUGGAGCACCCCCCACCAAAAGUCUUUUGACAAGUCCAAGCGGUGCCAUGUCUGGAUCUUUUCAUGCUCACCACACACCACACCAUGACCACAGUUUACACAUGAAGUCAGUUCACACACCAGGCACUGGGGCUCCACCCACUGCAAGUAUUUUACACAAUGAAACUCCCCAUGGUGCAAGUCAAAGUUUUAUGAUGGACAAUUCUAUGGGUCUUUCACCAGCACAACUUGAUCCAUUUUAUACUCAAGGAGAAAUGUUGACAGCUGAUGAUGCCUUAGAUGAAACCUGGGUAACAGUGUUUGGAUUUCAAGCUGCUGCCGCUUCUUAUUUCCUACAACAGUUUUCACAGUAUGGCAACAUUUUGAAAUAUGAGAUUGCCUCCGAAGGAAACUGGAUGCAUCUUCACUACCAGUCUAAACUGCAGGCAAAGAAAGCACUCAGCAAGGAUGGCAAAAUCUUCAAUAACUGUGUGAUGAUUGGGGUCAAACCAUGUAUUGAUAAGGUGGUAAUGGACAGAGACAGAAAGGCCAGCCUUGCUGAGGAACACUCCCUGGACCUGAACACCUCCUCAGCCGCAAGGAACACGCCCAUACGCCCCCUCACCGCAGCCUACAAGGCUGCCAGGAGUGACCAUGAGGUCAGAACAAUCAAUUUACAGAGUUACCUUUCUUGCUGUAUUACUGCAUCAACAUGAAGCUGCUCAGUUUUUUUCAAACGUUUUGAUGACUUGCUGAAUUGAAUCCCUUUUCUGAUGUCUUUUGUGUAGCACAAGUUUCAAUAUAAAGAUCACAAAGUAUUUUAAAACGAAAAUUCUGUGUUCAGCUUCUGUCAUACUAUGAUUUUGUAAUCUAUCAAAUUUUCUUUUAAUGCUAGUAUAAAUGAUCAAUUUUAUUGUUUUAAAUUUUAGGUUGUCAAGAAUAACCAGACCCCACAAAAAAAUUCCACUUUUAUAGGCAAGACAAUGGAGUAUAUGUUUGGCUGGUGACACAACAGAGGACAAUCAUUUUAUAUACAUGUAUUGGUGCAAUGAAAUGUUUUCUUAUUAAAUCUAUCUAUUUU